rnacentral:rRNA from 1 species
GAUGAACGCUAGCUACAGGCUUAACACAUGCAAGUCGCAGGGUAACAUGAGGACAGCUUGCUUUCCUUGAUGACGACUGGCGCACGGGUGAGUAACGCGUAUCCAACCUUCCCAUAACUACGGGAUAACCCGUUGAAAGACGGCCUAAUACCGUAUGACAUCGUUUGCUGACAUCAAAUAACGAUUAAAGGUUUAGCGGUUAUGGAUGGGGAUGCGUCUGAUUAGCUUGUUGGCGGGGUAACGGCCCACCAAGGCGACGAUCAGUAGGGGUUCUGAGAGGAAGGUCCCCCACAUUGGAACUGAGACACGGUCCAAACUCCUACGGGAGGCAGCAGUGAGGAAUAUUGGUCAAUGGGCGAGAGCCUGAACCAGCCAAGUAGCGUGCAGGAGGACGGCCCUAUGGGUUGUAAACUGCUUUUAUGUGGGGAUAAAGUGCGUGACGUGUCAUGCAUUGCAGGUACCACAUGAAUAAGGACCGGCUAAUUCCGUG